AACAAGGAAUUCGAAUGUGGAAUUGUGGUAGCUAACCACUGACCCAAAAAAAGACACGUUUAUGUCAAUAAACAUGAUAUUAAAAUAGAAGAUGUGGUAUAAUUACAAAUGAGAUGUCUGUUUAUUACAAGCUAUACAUGUAGCUACUGGUAGAAAAAGCUCCAGUAAAAUUAAAUUUUAUCAAGGAUGGGAGAGGACUUGUUAUCUGAAAGACAGAGAAAACACAAAAUUCUUCAACAUUUUUUUUUUAUAUCAAUGUCACGAUUCAGGAACUUUUUAAUAUUCCCAACUAUAGCAUCCGACA
rnacentral:lncRNA from 1 species